AUGAACGCUAGCUACAGGCUUAACACAUGCAAGUCGAGGGGCAGCAUGGUCUUAGCUUGCUAAGGCCGAUGGCGACCGGCGCACGGGUGAGUAACACGUAUCCAACCUGCCGUCUACUCUUGGACAGCCUUCUGAAAGGAAGAUUAAUACAAGAUGGCAUCAUGAGUCCGCAUGUUCACAUGAUUAAAGGUAUUCCGGUAGACGAUGGGGAUGCGUUCCAUUAGAUAGUAGGCGGGGUAACGGCCCACCUAGUCUUCGAUGGAUAGGGGUUCUGAGAGGAAGGUCCCCCACAUUGGAACUGAGACACGGUCCAAACUCCUACGGGAGGCAGCAGUGAGGAAUAUUGGUCAAUGGGCGAGAGCCUGAACCAGCCAAGUAGCGUGAAGGAUGACUGCCCUAUGGGUUGUAAACUUCUUUUAUAAAGGAAUAAAGUCGGGUAUGGAUACCCGUUUGCAUGUACUUUAUGAAUAAGGAUCGGCUAACUCCGUGCCAGCAGCCGCGGUAAUACGGAGGAUCCGAGCGUUAUCCGGAUUUAUUGGGUUUAAAGGGAGCGUAGAUGGAUGUUUAAGUCAGUUGUGAAAGUUUGCGGCUCAACCGUAAAAUUGCAGUUGAUACUGGAUAUCUUGAGUGCAGUUGAGGCAGGCGGAAUUCGUGGUGUAGCGGUGAAAUGCUUAGAUAUCACGAAGAACUCCGAUUGCGAAGGCAGCCUGCUAAGCUGCAACUGACAUUGAGGCUCGAAAGUGUGGGUAUCAAACAGGAUUAGAUACCCUGGUAGUCCACACGGUAAACGAUGAAUACUCGCUGUUUGCGAUAUACAGCAAGCGGCCAAGCGAAAGCGUUAAGUAUUCCACCUGGGGAGUACGCCGGCAACGGUGAAACUCAAAGGAAUUGACGGGGGCCCGCACAAGCGGAGGAACAUGUGGUUUAAUUCGAUGAUACGCGAGGAACCUUACCAGGUCUUGACAUCCUUCUGACCGCACCUUAAUCGGUGCUUUCCUUCGGGACAGAAGAGACAGGUGGUGCAUGGUUGUCGUCAGCUCGUGUCGUGAGAUGUUGGGUUAAGUCCCGCAACGAGCGCAACCCCUAUUGUUAGUUGCUACGCAAGAGCACUCUAGCGAGACUGCCGUUGACAAAACGGAGGAAGGUGGGGAUGACGUCAAAUCAGCACGGCCCUUACGUCCGGGGCUACACACGUGUUACAAUGGGGGGUACAGAGGGCCGCUACCACGCGAGUGGAUGCCAAUCCCAAAAACCUCUCUCAGUUCGGACUGGAGUCUGCAACCCGACUCCACGAAGCUGGAUUCGCUAGUAAUCGCGCAUCAGCCACGGCGCGGUGAAUACGUUCCCGGGCCUUGUACACACCGCCCGUCAAGCCAUGGGAGCCGGGGGUACCUGAAGUGCGUAACCGCGAGGAGCGCCCUAGGGUAAAACUGGUGACUGGGGCU
rnacentral:rRNA from 1 species